rnacentral:rRNA from 1 species
UACGAAGGUCCCAAGCGUUAUUCGGAAUCACUGGGCGUAAAGAGUACGUAGGCGGUUUGGUAAGUCAGGUGUGAAAUCCCGAAGCUCAACUUCGGAACUGCAUCCGAUACUGCCAGACUUGAGUAAUGGAGAGGCAGGUGGAAUUCUCGGUGUAGCAGUGAAAUGCGUGGAUAUCGAGAGGAAGACCAAUGGCGAAGGCAGCCUGCUGGACAUUGACUGACGCUGAGGUACGAAGGCUAGGGGAGCGAAAGGGAUUAGAAACCCCAGUAGUCC